rnacentral:tRNA from 1 species
GGCCCGGUAGCCCAAUUGGCAGUAGGCACGACACUUAAAAUGUCGCAAGUAUCAGUUCGAAUCUGAUCCGGGCUA